CUCCUUUUAGUAUAAUAUUAGUAUAAUUGAUUUACAAUCAAAAGGUUUGCUUGUAGCAGAGAGGCGA
rnacentral:tRNA from 1 species